rnacentral:rRNA from 1 species
UACGUAGGAUCCAAGCGUUGUCCGGAUUUACUGGGUGUAAAGGGUGCGCAGGCGGACUUGUUAGUCAGAGGUGAAAUCUCACGGCUCAACCGUGAAACUGCCUUUGAUACUGCAGGUCUUGAAUUGGGGAGAGAGUUGUGGAAUUCCGAGUGUAGCAGUGAAAUGUGUAGAUAUUCGGAAGAACACCAGUGGCGAAGGCAGCAACUUGGCCCUAUAUUGACGCUCAGGCACGAAAGCAUGGGGAUCAAACAGG